GGGCCCGCACAAGCGGUGGAGUAUGUGGUUUAAUUCGAUGCAACGCGAAGAACCUUACCAGGGUUUGACAUCCUGCGAAUCUCUUGGAAACGAGAGAGUGCCUUCGGGAACGCAGUGACAGGUGGUGCAUGGCUGUCGUCAGCUCGUGUCGUGAGAUGUUGGGUUAAGUCCCGCAACGAGCGCAACCCACGUCUUUAGUUGCCAGCAUUUAGUUGGGCACUCUAGAGAGACUGCCGGUGAUAAACCGGAGGAAGGUGUGGAUGACGUCAAGUCAUCAUGCCCCUUACAUCCUGGGCUACACACGUACUACAAUGGUAUCUACAACAGGAAGCAAGACUGCGAAGUUAAGCA
rnacentral:rRNA from 1 species